UUAACACAAAUUUGUAUAGCGUUGGAACGCUUGCCUACGUUUGCCGCUAGGGGCGCUGUUCCAACUGCAUACACAUUUGAGUUA
rfam:Bombyx mori DNA, contig: Bm_scaf6_contig5297, strain: p50T/Dazao, build 2, whole genome shotgun sequence.